UUUUCUAAUGAGAUCAAUGUGCGUUUCCACCGCUUCAUUUCCGUGUUAGCCAAUAAGAAAAAGAUUGGUGUCCAUACAUGUGUUAAGCACCGUUUUUUUUUAUCGGUUUUGGAUCCGGCCACCUUUACCCCAUCCACCAUCAUUCAUCUCCCUCUCUUUAACCUCUAUCGGAAGGAAAAUGAGUAUCGUCUCCAUCAUCUCUGCCAGUCUCCUCAACUUUUGGUGUUUGGGAUUAUACAACUGUCUUUAUCGCCGUUCACCCAAUCUCCAUGACGAUUUUAGGGUUUGAUUGCAGAUAAAUAUAUGGAGGGUGGAAGUACUGAUAAAAUAAUGGCAGUUAAAAAGGACUGGAGCAAUUAGACGUGGUUGAGAUGGAGGUGAAAGUCACCGAUUAGAUAGGUCAGAAAAAGGAGAGUCGCCGAUUAGACUGGAGCAAUCAUACGCAUAUUUAUCUAAUUUUGAAAAACAUGCAUUUGAUUGCAGAGCAUAGUCACCGCCUCCACCUCCUACCUCCGUCUUCGUUCUUGUCGAUGCUUCCGCCUCCUACCUCCCUUCAGCACCGUCCUCCUCCUCCUCUGCGUAAUCACUAUUGGCGUCUCCGGAAGGUAGGAUUGACCACCAGCUUUCGUUCUUGUCGAUGCUUUUCAUGAUAAAUGAACACUAACUUUUGAAACACUGAUCAAUGGAUGGUGGUAUAUUUAUCGCUUCUGUAACAAAUGUUAUAAGAAGCUCAAUGGAUGGUGGUAUAUUUAUCGGAGAAUCACUUGUAGAAAGAAAGUGGAAGAAAUUGGAAUGUUUCUCGCUGAUAGUCAGUGAGCUUCUCCUUUUGCUCUACAAUUGUCGAUUUGUGAUUUGCACCAAGUAAUGAAACGUGUCUGCAUCACUUUCUUCCUCUAUCUCUUACCGUCAUUGAUUGCUCCUGCUGUGUUCAUCGCGGUUUGGCUGACGGAUUCCACGUUUUAGAGGCGUAUGUAUAUGUUUAUAUCGCCUGGCAUUCACAGGUCCCUUCUAUCCUUUUUAGUAAAUUUGUGUGAUUGAAUACAUUUCGUUGCGUAUAGUAUAAAUUUUUUCAUUUUGAUUACAUAAAAGAAUAUGUGGAAAUUCAAAGAAUUUUGCGUUGUGUAUUAUGAAAUGUCUUUUUAUGUCCGUUUCUUUUCAGUAAUAAGGUUUGCAAUACCAACUGGAGAUCUAAAAACACUCUCAGAUGUUGAUCUCAAACUCAUUGCCUUGACUCAUACAUUGGAAUCCCAGAUCCAUACAGUGGUUUACUUCUCAAAUUUUGUAUUCAUUUUAUAGGGUUUUUUGCUUUCUCGAUUUUGGGGCAAGAUGGAGGUUGGGAAUCAGAACCCAUGAAGACUGUUGUCAAAAAUUCAUGAAGUCUGCGGACCACCUCUGCAAUCCUCUGUAGUAGAAGAGGUGGACCAAACGGCUGCAGAAUCAAUAAAAAAAAGAAGAAGAAGAGGUUGGAAGAGGUAGUACAAGUGUUGCGCCAAACAGAGCACGCACAGAGAUUUUGACUCAGAAGACUUCUAAAAAACAAACAGUUGCAAGAUGAAAAGUGUUACGCGUGUGCUGCGCUGCGCAGCAAUAAGAGGCUACAUUGAAUUAUUGGAUGAUAGUUCUCAUAUUGUGGUUCCACAAGAUGAUUAUGGACUACAUGCCAUUGAUAUUUUUGAUCCUUCAUGUAUGUAAAUCAUUUCAUGAGAUGAUUGUUAUGCUUAUUAAAUGUGGAUUCAAGAAAAGGAACCACCUUAUUUGGAUAUGGAUACAACUUCCUACAAAGCAAUAGGUGCACCAAGAUGCAUCAAUGAAUGCCUCUUAACCGGGUUACAGUUUGUUGAGGGACUUGAAAGUCUUUAUGUCAAGUUGCCAACAAAUCGGUUUGGUGGCAAGUUGAAGACAUGAGUUGGCUGCUGACGAUGAGGCGUCUAGAGCUUUAUCAUAAAGAAACAAAGAUCCUUCUCAAGCUUCAAGACCAUGGGGUCCUGAUGGAUUUGUUAUGGAUGAAGGUGCUGGGGUUCUGCUAUUGGAAGAAGUUGAGAAUGCUAAGGUGUUGGUCUUAUUUUUUGCAUGGAGAAACCUUUAUCUCGGUUUGGCGUAGCAGGGGAAGAUGUGAAUUACAUAAACUCACAUGCCACAUCAAAGCCAGCUAGCGACCUUAAGGAAUACAGUUCUCUUCUUCAUUGUUUUGGCAAUAAUUAAGAGUUACGAGUCAACUCUACAAAAUCCAUGAUUGGUCACCUUCUAGAAACAGUUGCUGGUGUUGAAGCUGUAGCAACUGUAGACGUAUAUUUAAAUUUUAUAUUUAAAAUUUUAAUUUCUUUCCUAAUAAUGCUAUAUCUCCUUACUUGGAAAGAUUUGUAAGUUCAAAUGACUUAUUGCCCUGAUUAAAUACAAUAAAUACCAACAUGCGUCUA